rnacentral:lncRNA from 1 species
CAAGGCAUGAGGUAGCCAUGCAGGUAUGGUCGGACCAAGGCAUGAGGUAGCCAUGCAGGUAUGGUAAGACCAAGGCAUGAGGUAGCCAUGCAGGUAUGUUCAGACCAAGGCAUGAGGUAGCCAUGCAGGUAUGUUCAGACCAAGGCAUGAGGUAGCCAUGCAGGUAUGGUCGGACCAAGGCAUGAGGUAGCCAUGCAGGUAUGUUCAGACCAAGGCAUGAGGUAGCCAUGCAGGUAUGGAGAGACCAAGGCAUGAGGUAGCCAUGCAGGUAUGGUAAGACCAAGGCAUGAGGUAGCCAUGCAGGUAUGGUAAGACCAAGGCAUGAGGUAGCCAUGCAGGUAUG